rnacentral:rRNA from 1 species
CCUACGGGAGGCAGCAGUGAGGAAUAUUGCACAAUGGCGGAAACCCUGAUGCAGCGACGCCGCGUGAGUGAAGAAGUUAUUCGUUAUGUAAAGCUCUAUCAGCCGGGAAGAAAAUGACGGUACCUGAGUAAGAAGCCGCGGCUAACUACGUGCCAGCAGCCUCGGUAAUACGUAGGGGGCAAGCGUUAUCCGGAUUUACUGGGGGUAAAGGGAGCGUAGACGGCAGUGCAAGUCUGGAGGUAAAGGCGGGGGCUCAACCCCCGGACUGCUCUGGAAACUGUACGGCUGGAGUGCAGGAGAGGUAAGUGGAAUGCCUAGUGUAGCGGUGAAAUGCGUAGAUAUUAGGAGGAACACCAGUGGCGAAGGCGGCUUACUGGACUGUAACUGACGUUGAGGCUCGAAAGCGUGGGGAGCGAACAGGAUUAGAUACCCCAGUAGUC